rnacentral:rRNA from 1 species
GAUGAACGCUGGCGGCGUGCCUAAUACAUGCAAGUCGAGCGAACAGACGAGGAGCUUGCUCCUCUGACGUUAGCGGCGGACGGGUGAGUAACACGUGGAUAACCUACCUAUAAGACUGGGAUAACUUCGGGAAACCGGAGCUAAUACCGGAUAAUAUAUUGAACCGCAUGGUUCAAUAGUGAAAGACGGUUUUGCUGUCACUUAUAGAUGGAUCCGCGCCGCAUUAGCUAGUUGGUAAGGUAACGGCUUACCAAGGCAACGAUGCGUAGCCGACCUGAGAGGGUGAUCGGCCACACGGGAACUGCGACACGGUCCAGACUCCUACGGGAGGCAGCAGUAGGGAAUCUUCCGCAAUGGGCGAAAGCCUGACGGAGCAACGCCGCGUGAGUGAUGAAGGUCUUCGGAUCGUAAAACUCUGUUAUUAGGGAAGAACAAAUGUGUAAGUAACUAUGCACGUCUUGACGGUACCUAAUCAGAAAGCCACGGCUAACUACGUG